UCUCCGUUGGUGAACCAGCGGAGGGAUCAUUACCGAGUUUUCAACUCCCAAACCCACUGUGAACAUAUACCUUUGUUUUCGUUGCCUCGGCGGUUCGCGCCGCCGGGUGACACCCAAACUCUGAUUUGAUAUAGCAAGUCUUUCUGAGUAAAACAUUCUAAAUGAAUCAAAACUUUCAACAACGGAUCUCUUGGUUCUG
rnacentral:misc_RNA from 1 species